rnacentral:tRNA from 1 species
UCAAUGUAAGUUCUGUGGAAAUACUAACUUUGGAAGUUGGCGGCUGAUGAAAAUCAACAUUGAA